UACGUAGGGGGCAAGCGUUGUCCGGAAUCAUUGGGCGUAAAGAGCGUGUAGGCGGUUCAGUAAGUCUGCUGUGAAAGUCCAGGGCUCAACCCUGGGAUGCCGGUGGAUACUGCUGGGCUAGAGUACGGAAGAGGCGAGUGGAAUUCCCGGUGUAGCGGUGAAAUGCGCAGAUAUCGGGAGGAACACCAAUUGCGAAGGCAGCUCGCUGGGACGUCACUGACGCUGAGACGCGAAAGCGUGGGGAGCAAACAGG
rnacentral:rRNA from 1 species